rnacentral:rRNA from 1 species
UGAGGAAUAUUGGGUCAAUGGGCGAGAGCCUGAACCAGCCAAGUAGCGUGCAGGAUGACGGCCCUAUGGGUUGUAAACUGCUUUUAUGCGGGGAUAAAGCGGGCGACGUGUCGCCCCUUGCAGGUACCGCAUGAAUAAGGACCGGCUAAUUCCGUGCCAGCAGCCGCGGUAAUACGGAAGGUCCGGGCGUUAUCCGGAUUUAUUGGGUUUAAAGGGAGCGUAGGCCGGAGAUUAAGCGUGUUGUGAAAUGUAGACGCUCAACGUCUGCACUGCAGCGCGAACUGGUUUCCUUGAGUACGCACAAAGUGGGCGGAAUUCGUGGUGUAGCGGUGAAAUGCUUAGAUAUCACGAAGAACUCCGAUUGCGAAGGCAGCUCACUGGAGCGCAACUGACGCUGAAGCUCGAAAGUGCGGGUAUCGAACAGGAUUAGAUACCCUGGUAGU